AUUACACUGUUUAUCAUUAUUUCUUUCAGAAGCUUAGACUUUAUGAUCAGUGGACCAAGCUUUAUGAAAUAUGUCUAUGAAAGCGACGACAUGAAUAGAACUGAUGUGAUCAAAAUUAGUGUUGACUGGACACCAAAACCUCCAGACCAAAUAGCAGACUUUCAGUUUUGUGUUUGGGGCGUAGAUAACAUGGGAUUGAUGUCGAAAUCAAGGUGUGUUCUAGACAUAAUAUUUGAUGACGAUAAUUGUAAUCACGUGAUAUGUGAAAAUAAAGGAAUAUGUCGGAAUAUAUUUGAUAAUGCA